UACGUAGGGUGCAAGCGUUGUCCGGAAUUAUUGGGCGUAAAGAGCUCGUAGGCGGUCUGUCGCGUCUGCUGUGAAAAUCCAGGGCUCAACCCUGGACCUGCAGUGGGUACGGGCAGACUAGAGUGCGGUAGGGGAGAUCGGAAUUCCUGGUGUAGCGGUGGAAUGCGCAGAUAUCAGGAGGAACACCGAUGGCGAAGGCAGGUCUCUGGGCCACUACUGACGCUGAGAAGCGAAAGCAUGGGGAGCGAACAGG
rnacentral:rRNA from 1 species